UAGUCGAUGGGAAACAGGUUAAUAUUCCUGUACUUGGUGUUACUGCGAAGGGGGGACGGAGAAGGCUAUGUUGGCCGGGCGACGGUUGUCCCGGUUUAAGCGUGUAGGCUGGUUUUCCAGGCAAAUCCGGAAAACCAAGGCUGAGGCGUGAUGACGAGGCACUACGGUGCUGAAGCGACAAAUGCCCUGCUUCCAGGAAAAGCCUCUAAGCAUCAGGUAACAUCAAAUCGUACCCCAAACCGACACAGGUGGUCAGGUAGAGAAUACCAAGGCGCUUGAGAGAACUCGGGUGAAGGAACUAGGCAAAAUGGUGCCGUAACUUCGGGAGAAGGCACGCUGAUAUGUAGGUGAAGCGACUUGCUCGUGGAGCUGAAAUCAGUCGAAGAUACCAGCUGGCUGCAACUGUUUAUUAAAAACACAGCACUGUGCAAACACGAAAGUGGACGUAUACGGUGUGACGCCUGCCCGGUGCCGGAAGGUUAAUUGAUGGGGUUAGCGGCAACGCGAAGCUCUUGAUCGAAGCCCCGGUAAACGGCGGCCGUAACUAUAACGGUCCUAAGGUAGCGAAAUUCCUUGUCGGGUAAGUUCCGACCUGCACGAAUGGCGUAAUGAUGGCCAGGCUGUCUCCACCCGAGACUCAGUGAAAUUGAACUCGCUGUGAAGAUGCAGUGUACCCGCGGCAAGACGGAAAGACCCCGUGAACCUUUACUAUAGCUUGACACUGAACAUUGAGCCUUGAUGUGUAGGAUAGGUGGGAGGCUUUGAAGUGUGGACGCCAGUCUGCAUGGAGCCGACCUUGAAAUACCACCCUUUAAUGUUUGAUGUUCUAACGUUGGCCCCUAAUCGGGGUUGCGGACAGUGUCUGGUGGGUAGUUUGACUGGGGCGGUCUCCUCCUAAAGAGUAACGGAGGAGCACGAAGGUUGGCUAAUCCUGGUCGGACAUCAGGAGGUUAGUGCAAUGGCAUAAGCCAGCUUGACUGCGAGCGUGACGGCGCGAGCAGGUGCGAAAGCAGGUCAUAGUGAUCCGGUGGUUCUGAAUGGAAGGGCCAUCGCUCAACGGAUAAAAGGUACUCCGGGGAUAACAGGCUGAUACCGCCCAAGAGUUCAUAUCGACGGCGGUGUUUGGCACCUCGAUGUCGGCUCAUCACAUCCUGGGGCUGAAGUAGGUCCCAAGGGUAUGGCUGUUCGCCAUUUAAAGUGGUACGCGAGCUGGGUUUAGAACGUCGUGAGACAGUUCGGUCCCUAUCUGCCGUGGGCGCUGGAGAACUGAGGGGGGCUGCUCCUAGUACGAGAGGACCGGAGUGGACGCAUCACUGGUGUUCGGGUUGUCAUGCCAAUGGCACUGCCCGGUAGCUAAAUGCGGAAGAGAUAAGUGCUGAAAGCAUCUAAGCACGAAACUUGCCCCGAGAUGAGUUCUCCCUGAGACUUAGAGUCUCCUGAAGGAAC
rnacentral:rRNA from 1 species